rnacentral:pre_miRNA from 1 species
GGAAGGAGGUGGAGAAGUGGUGUCUGCACUUCAAACGCAAGUGAGAUUCACUUCCUCCAACUUAUUUCC